rnacentral:rRNA from 1 species
GCGUUGGGAGCUCUCCCAUAUGGUCGACCUGCAGGCGGCCGCGAAUUCACUAGUGAUUCGUAUUACCGCGGCUGCUGGCACAGAGUUAGCCGGUGCUUAUUCUGCGGGUACCGUCAUAGCAACGAGUUAUUCGCUCGUUACCUUUCUUCCCCACCUAAAGUGCUUUACAACCCGAAGGCCUUCUUCACACACGCGGCAUCGCUGGAUCAGGGUUUCCCCCAUUGUCCAAGAUUCCCCACUGCUGCCUCCCGUAGGAGUCUGGGCCGUGUCUCAGUCCCAGUGUGGCUGGUCAUCCUCUCAGACCAGCUACGGAUCGUCGCCUUGGUAGGCUUUUACCCCACCAACUAGCUAAUCCGACGUAGGCUCACCCCAGAGCGCAAGGCCUUUCGGUCCCCUGCUUUUGAUCUCUCGAUAUCAUGUGGUAUUAGCCCGAGUUUCCCCGGGUUAUCCCACGCUCCAGGACAGAUUCCUACGUGUUACUCACCCGUCCGCCACUCGCCACCCCAUAAAGACCGAAAUCUUUACUGUGCUGCCGUUCGACUUGCAUGUGUUAGGCAUGCCGCCAGCGUUCAAUCUGAGCCAUGAUCAAACUCUAAUCGAAUUCCCGCGGCCGCCAUGGCGGCCGGGAGCAUGCGACGU